rnacentral:lncRNA from 1 species
AUGUCCGUUAUCUCUGCCAGGAAGACAAGCCAAGUUAUCCUUCAGACAGGAAAUGGGAUGUUGGUGGUGGCCCCAAGAAGUGCACAGACUCUGAACUGGAAGAUGAGAGACCACUGUGGAAGGGAUCCAGAGACAAAUGAACAGAACUGGUGUCAGUAUUCUGUGCUCCUGAGACACCUGAGCUCAUCUCCAAGAAUAAUUUCUAUCCUCAACUCAUACCAAAGGCAUAGCAUGGGUGCAGACUGUGAGGCUUUUCGAGAUCUGUCAGGAGGCGGACUUGAGGAGUAGCACAAUAGUGAGCAAUGCUGGGAAAAGACCAAUUACAAAAUCCUUCAUCUCCAUCAGCUUUAGUAGAAGUUAAUGGGCUAGGUGAGUAGUGGAGCAUCAGGUAUGUUUUCCAUGUGCCUUUUCUUCCUGUACACAUUCCUUACAGACUCUUCCUAUACUGGCCAGUAGAAAGGUCUAUCAGAGCCCCC